UUCCAUCCCUUUUAAAUAAUACUUUUUUCAUUAUUUUUUACAUAACCCGUCACAUACAUGCUUAUUGUUUAAGGAUAUAAAAUAAUUCCACAAAGAUUAAGUGAACUCGCGUGAGGAAAAUAUAGAUAUUGGCAAAAAAACCAAUAUUGUGUUUAUCGACUAAUUUUCCAAGAAAAAAGGACGUCAUCGUCAUAUGCUCGAGGUCCAAUUUUAAAAGAUAAGAAGCCGAAGAAUGAGUUGGAACACUUGGAAUACAGAUUCAAGCUUGUUGCAACAAUUAGCAGGCGAAAGCAAGCAAUAGUAUAACACUUGUUAGCAACUAGAUCAACACUAAUUGCUUAAAUUUGAAACGCGCGUUGUUGUACUUGUUAAAAUUACUAACUUUUUUAUACAAUACCUUGAUUAUAAUUUGCAAACUAAGAAAUGUUGUACUCCUACAGAAUCUGAUAUACAACUAUAUAUGGAUGAUAA